CUUGCACCUUUCAAGCGAGUGGCGAACGGGUGAGUAACACGUGGAUAACCUGCCUCAAGGCUGGGGAUAACAUUUGGAAACAGAUGCUAAUACCGAAUAAAACUUAGUAUCGCAUGAUAUCAAGUUAAAAGGCGCUACGGCGUCACCUAGAGAUGGAUCCGCGGUGCAUUAGUUAGUUGGUGGGGUAAAGGCUUACCAAGACGAUGAUGCAUAGCCGAGUUGAGAGACUGAUCGGCCACAUUGGGACUGAGACACGGCCCAAACUCCUACGGGAGGCUGCAGUAGGGAAUCUUCCACAAUGGGCGCAAGCCUGAUGGAGCAACGCCGCGUGUGUGAUGAAGGCUUUCGGGUCGUAAAGCACUGUUGUAUGGGAAGAAAUGCUAAAAUAGGGAAUGAUUUUAGUUUGACGGUACCAUACCAGAAAGGGACGGCUAAAUACGUGCCAGCAGCCGCGGUAAUACGUAUGUCCCGAGCGUUAUCCGGAUUUAUUGGGCGUAAAGCGAGCGCAGACGGUUGAUUAAGUCUGAUGUGAAAGCCCGGAGCUCAACUCCGGAAUGGCAUUGGAAACUGGUUAACUUGAGUGUUGUAGAGGUAAGUGGAACUCCAUGG
rnacentral:rRNA from 1 species